UGCUAUUCGGAAUUAGUUCCAACUUCCAAGAUAUUAAUCAAAGCAUUGAUAUUAACGAAGUUAAUCUUAUACGGCAUUAUAAUUAUCUCAACCAUGAGACUGGGACAUUGAGAUGCCAUAGUUUCAUCUUUACCACUGUGUCAUCCUUUCAAACCCCUGACAAAAAAGAAGCAUCAACUUACAAUUAGUCACAUGAGCUGCAACAAAGCCUAAACAGCCUAAAAACAACGCCAAUAGGCAAUAACUAUUCUUAUUGAAUCAAACUUAGAAUUGACUCAUCAAAUUUUAAAAGAAAACCCAACCUUUUGUAUCAAUCUGUUGAACAAUUCCAACAUAAACAAACGAUCUUUUAACUACCCCCAACUCGAGGGGGAUCCAAAUGAAGCUGGCAAAGAUGUGUUCAUCAAUAAACUUUGAGAACAAUACAUCUAACGCUAGUAGCUGCUAAAUUCAAUCAAUGGCCAUUAAUGUUCUUAUAUUUCUGUGAAGAACCCUAGAAAAUGAACAGCAAGCCAAGGGGAAAUCAUAAAGGAGAUGAUCAAACGGAGAGGAAUCAAAAUAAAAUCAAUAAAAAGAACUUAUUAAAACAAAAUCUAACAACAGCAUUCAAAAUCAUUCCCAUAAACGAAAGCUUUGAAUAAAAAAAAUUUUAUAAUCAAUACAUGAACUAUUUAUAGUCACUGAUCAUAUCACCACACCUCAUCAGAAAGCCUCAGUAGUCAUUAAUCGUAAACACCUGAUUCAUAUCGUUUACCAUUGUUGUUGACAUUCUUAUUGUGUAAACAUAGUUGAUGCAGACAAAUGAAGAAUGCAUGAGAUGAAAC
rnacentral:lncRNA from 1 species